rnacentral:rRNA from 1 species
GGUUGCGAUCAUACCAGCACUAAUGCACCGGAUCCCAUCAGAACUCCGCAGUUAAGCGUGCUUGGGCGAGAGUAGUACUUGGAUGGGUGACCCCCUGGGAAGUCCUCGUGUUGCAACCCC